rnacentral:rRNA from 1 species
UACGUAGGGGGCGAGCGUUGUCCGGAGUUACUGGGCGUAAAGCGCCCGCAGGCGGUCCAUUAAGUUCAGGGUGACAGUCAUCAGCUUAACUGGUGAAGGACUUUGAAAACUGGUGGACUUGAGAGCGAGAGAGGGACAUGGAACUCCGGGUGGAGCAGUGAAAUGCGUUGAGAUCCGGAAGAACACCAAAGGCGAAGGCAGUGUCCUGGCUCGUGUCUGACGCUCGGGGGCGAAAGCGAGGGGAG